rnacentral:rRNA from 1 species
ACUCCUACGGGAGGCAGCAGUGGGGAAUAUUGGACAAUGGGCGCAAGCCUGAUCCAGCCAUGCCGCGUGAGUGAUGAAGGCCCUAGGGUUGUAAAGCUCUUUCACCGGUGAAGAUAAUGACGGUAACCGGAGAAGAAGCCCCGGCUAACUUCGUGCCAGCAGCCGCGGUAAUACGAAGGGGGCUAGCGUUGUUCGGAUUUACUGGGCGUAAAGCGCACGUAGGCGGACUAUUAAGUCAGGGGUGAAAUCCCGGGGCUCAACCCCGGAACUGCCUUCGAUACUGGUAGUCUUGAGUUCGAGAGAGGUGAGUGGAAUUCCGAGUGUAGAGGUGAAAUUCGUAGAUAUUCGGAGGAACACCAGUGGCGAAGGCGGCUCACUGGCUCGAUACUGACGCUGAGGUGCGAAAGCGUGGGGAGCAAACAGGAUUAGAAACCCGGGUAGUCCC